GAAGAAUAGCUCAUUCAGACAACAGAUGAGAAUGGGCCUUGCAGCCACUGGGAAAGGCAGCAAAGCCCAAGAAAUUAAUAUCCCCAUGAAUAUCUGGAGUUGACUGAAGGUCAGAAGAAAUGGGUGGCAGAAGAAAGAGAAAAAGAAACAUUGACAGAUGGAAUCCCUGCCAGGCCACUUUCAGUAUCAAGAAAAGUGAUCAGGUGGCAGAGCAAUCCAUGGAGGCUUCAGACUGAUGCCCAGUGACAGCUGACUGCAAGCAAAGUCAAAGUGGUUAAGGCCACUUAAAUAUACUCCGUAUUCACGAGUCCAAAUUAAAUACUCCCUAUUCACAUCCAAUUUAAACCUGCAUCCCCUGCGUGGGCGGUGGAUGUAAACGCUGAGAAAGCCAAAGCUAAGUGUGGCCCCCUGCCAGGCCAGCUGCUCCCUCUGUUCUCAGCAGCUGCUACUGGACCUGGGAAGGUUCCAAUCUGCUCCCACUGGUGGGAAAGACCGCCCCGCUCCUGGCGUCGGGGAGGCCCUGGAGCUCUUCUUUCCUCCUGAAAGUCCACGCAGCACGGUCGCUGGGAAGGCAGGGAAGCCCAAGAAAAGCCCAUUCUGAUCUAGAAAAGCAAAGUGAAAGGUUAAGGUGGAUAUGAGGGAAGUUGAGGGCUUCUUAGUAGAACACCUAAUCUCCCAGGGAGCUGCUGUUCCCCCUUUCUGGGCUGCCUCGAGUGUGAUUGUUAAGUCAAAUUGGCCCCAUCCGCUCCUUGGCUGAAUUUGCCCGGAUUCUCUCUGGAACACAGGACUCAGCACCUCCACAGAUGCAUCUCCCCUGACAGUUCCAUCUGCACCUGAGCCCUUCGUCAAGUUAAUGGGUCACAGGCGCUCUAACUGGACUCAUGCUGCUGUGAAGCACUGCGCAUGUCUACCGCAGGAUACGGACCACCCUCGUAAAUAUCCCAGGCGAUGCUGAGGAAGCCAGCAGAGCCCCAGCCAAAUCCAAGUCCACAAAGCCAACUCGGAAGCAACGCACCAGCAUCCUGUCCUGUCUCCAGGCUCUCUGGGCGGGUUCUCCCUGAGCACUUCCAGAUGGCUUCUGUUUGCUCCUCUCUUCACUAGAUCUGCACAUGUGGCCAUGAGAAGGCAGCCGGGCUGGCGCUGGGUGAGGCUCAAGGGCAGUGGGAUAGGGGGAAGGAGGAGGGGAGGACAUGUGCAGGAGACUCCCGGGUCCCAGCUCUGUUCCUGUCUCCUGCCUGGGACCCUGAGCUCCGCAGCUGGGGUUUGUAUCAAGGAGAGCUUGCUCUCCACUGCAGAGUGAGAGGCUCACAGAAGAGCCACGACGUGGACUCCAGAGCAUGGUGGGGCCUCUGUGUCUCCCUCACUGCGCACAGGAAGGGAAGGAAAUGGAGGAGAAUCACCUUUCUCCUUUUCUACUCCACAAACGCUGACACCAAUCCUGACCUGGUUUUCCCAGCAACACAGAUGUGAUGAGGGAUUGCUUCGAGCUUGGGGUCAUCCCCGUAUUUUGAAAAGAGCCCUGUGCCACCUGCAGUGAUAAAAAGGACCACGGAGAUGUAGCCCCAGCCAAGGGGGCCAAACUUCAGGGAGAAUGCGGAAUCAACUCAGAUCCAAAUAAAUGUAGCCACCGCAGGGCUGCCCCCAGCUCUGAGCCCGUGGGCAUGUGUGCUGAGGGUGCAGGAGAGAGGAGAGAGGGGAUCCCUGCAGCGGGGCCCGAAGCACGCAACACUCCUUUGUCACCCAGCUUUGCGGAAGGGAAGGCCAGUCUAGAUCAGGAGAAUGGUCACAAGGGCAGGGUCUAGGAGGUGGUCAGUUAGUGAGGAGGAGGGAAAGCAACAGUGGCGUGGGACAGGCAGGGUCCCUGUGGGAACGGGCGUGAUGUGAGACACAGCACAGAGGGCUGGAACAGCAAGGGGACAAAGCACAUUCAGGACGCAGGGACUUUGUGGGGGCCAGGGCUUUCCCGUGAAACCUGGGAAGUUGAGGGGGUGUCAUCAAGGAUCACCAGGACCCUUCUCCAACUUUAAUUACUGAGGACUUUCCCAUGGUUAGCAAGAAAGCUAGGUGAUGCUGCUGGGGACAGCCAUCUUGCUUCUCCAACAGAUGCAGCGAACAGCUCGGGCUUAUCUCCGCUCCCGAGCAGACACAUAGUGGGAGAAAGGGGGAGAACACAUGGCAAAGGGAGAACUUCAGAGCAGGAUGCAUCCCUAAGCCCCAGCUGCCAGGACUGGGACCAGGAGUCCCCAAGGACUGCAGCCGUGACUCAUCCAGGCCUCGGUACCCUCCCAUCUCUGAGGUUUUCUGCUGUGGCUCUGGGGCUCUUGUGCCCAGUGUCGCUUUGGGGCUUUCUCCUGGUGGAGACUUGGGACACUCAGUGUCGGAGCCUCCCAGCAGCAUGAGGAACGGGGUGCAAACAACGCAGACGACCCAGCUCCCCAAGAGGGGUCUGACUCCUGCAUCCAGUGAGGGCUGAGUCAGAGCCAAGCGGAGCCUAUCAGUGCACAAUCCAAACACCAGCCAAGGCCCCGUGGCCAGGCCAGUCAUAAACCCACGGCCACAAAAACAGGCCAGAGAGCCCAGGAAUACAGCCCUGCCCGGGUAAUGAUUAACUGGCAUCCAGGGGUCCUGGAGGUCAGAGCGAUAAUGAGAAAGUUUCCCUGAACUCUCUCAAGUGCAGAGGGCCUGGGGAGGGGCCCUGCUGGCGCCGAUUCCUGGGCAAACACUUCCUGCCCCUCUCUUUUCAACGACCAAACAGCCUCAGCCCCUCUCACCUCCUUCCUGAGAACUGGGGAACUGACAUCACAAACGCAGGGCCUCAGGGCCCUGGUAAAAUCCACUGGGAAUAGCCAACGAGGGCAUCUUCCCAGGAGGCUGAAUUUCCUCAAACACGAGGCUGAUAAGCCCUUUCAAGAAGACAGGGCUUCAUGCUUAUCUUUAUUGUCUGGCAUGUCCUGAGACAUGGGAGCCACUCUGUUUGAGUGAAACUAGAAUAUUAUGUUCAGCGAGACUUUCUGCUUUCUGAUUUUUCUAGUGCUUUUGUAUCUUGCAGUGGAAUUCUCCAGCAACUUUCUUCUGAAAUUCCCAAACAACUUCCAGUGCAGAACUCCUGCCUCGGUUUAAGUUAAGGAGGUUUGCUAAGGCCCCGCUAUGUGUCUAGUUGGGGUGCUUUGCACAGAGUGAAAAAUAAUUCCCUCACCGGGAAGGCAAAGCUAACCUAGAGGAAAACAUAACAAUGGAAAAAUCUUUAAGGUGAAAGGUCUCCAAAGUUUCUCUGUGUUCUAGGAAAUCAUAAUGUCAGCUAAGGAUUAAAGAGGUCUGUCCCCUCAACUUGCAGAGAUAAUUGAAGGAAUAAAUGACUGGACAGGGCUCGGUGGCUCAUGCUUGUAAUCCCAGCACUUUGGGAGGCCAAGGCAGGAAGAUCUCUCAGACCAGCCUGAGCAACAUAGGUAGACCUCGUCUCUACAAAAGAAACAAAUGAACAAAACAUUAGCCAAGAGUGGUGGCACAUGCCUGUGGUCCCAGUUACUCAGGAGGCUGAGGUGGGAGGAUCACUUGAGCCCAAAAAGUCAAGGCUGCAAUGAGCCAUGAUCACUCCACUGUACUCCUGCCUGAGUGACAGAACAAAAACCCUGUCUCAAAAAAUAAAAUAAAAUAAAUGUAAAAAAAUUAAAAAUAAAUGAUUCACUUGAGGAUAUGUGGUUGUCAGUGAUCAAGAUGGCGCCAUGUUAAGGCUGGGCACAGUGGCUCACACCUGUGAUCCUAGCACUUUGGGAGGCCAAGGAGGGCGAAUUGCUUGAGUCUAGGAGUUCAAGACCAGCCUUGGCAACGUGGCUAAACCCCAUUGCUACAAAAAUAUAUAUAUACAAAAAAUUAGCUGGGAGCGGUUGGCACAUGCCUGUAGUCCCAACUACUCAGGAAGCCGAGGUGGGAGAAUUGCUUGAGUCUGGGGAGCAGAGGUUGCAGUGAGCUAAGGUCAUGCCACUGUACUCCAGCCUGACAGAGCAAGACCCUGUCCCCCCACAAAAAAAAGCAUCAUGAGCAACUCUCCCAAGGCUGGCCCCUGCACAUGUCUUCCCAUCCACCAAUAGAG
rnacentral:lncRNA from 1 species